UCAAAUUGUGGGUGGUGGGAUGGGAUGUUGUAUUGAUCCCUGGUGAUGGAAGAAGGGCCAGAAAGGCAUCAGAACCAAGGCAGUGCUAGGGACUGGCUGCUCUCCCCACCUUUCUCUUAAGUCAUUUGCUACUUUUUGGACAAUUAUAUUGUUUCUACUAGAUUUCCACAGAUAUUUCAUGACUUUGGCCUGUAUGUGUCUUUCUGGUUGGUCUGUUUGGUCUCUAGAUGAACUCACUUUCCUUUCUCUUUUUUAUGCUGUGGGAGAAUGAUACAUACCAGAGCUCUCACGAUGGCUGGCUUCCUAUUGCGUCUGGCUAAUCAUUAAGUCACCAGAGGGCAAGAAGAGAGCAGGAGCCCAAAUCAUUCUUCAAAUGGCACAAAUGAAUACGUGUGUUAAUGGAAUACAGGACAACAGGAAAAUAUCCAGAAGAGUGAUACUGACUUACAAAUUGUUAAAGAAGACUCCAUAUGGAAGCAAGGAUCAAUUUUGGACUUGCCUUUAUCUUUUAAUUCAUUUGCCACAAGCCUGCACAUAUCUGAUGUAGGCAGCUGCUCAAGGUUUUGCAGUUGGAGAACAUAUAAGUCUCCGAUUUUUAGGCGUUUUCUCAGCAAAAUUUGACCUCAUAUGGAGGAACACUGAAAAUGUGUGCAUAGUCCAAGGCAUUGUGGUCCUCAGAGCAUCUUCACAUGGAAAUGAGUGAUGGAGCCUUCAUCUACUGAAGAUUUUGGCACCUAACUCACUGGAGUCAUGACUUUCAGAACUCCUGCCAUAAUUAGAGACAACAUUAACAUUCGGGUAACUGGGAUCUUAAAUGAAGUGUGGAAAGGUUCUUAAUUUGAAGACUGUAUUAGAAUCACCUGGAGGCCUACUUAAAACAGUUUCUGAUUCAGUAGGUCAGUAAGUAAAGGAUGGGGUAUGAGGAUUUGCAUGUCUAGCAGGUUCUAAGGUGAUGCUGGUGCUACUGGCUUGGGGACCACAUUUGAGAACCAUAGUUCUCCUGAGACACUCAUGGAAACCUGGCUUUGUGAUUCACUUGCCUGUUUUUUUAUUCAUCACCUUGAUUACUAGUAUAAAUCCUUCUCUUCUAUC